UUUGUUAAAAUGUCAAUAACAACUUUUAUUUACAAAGUAAUUGUCCUAUCACAUUACAUUUGGGGUUACAUGUAUCACUGUUGUAUGCUGGUAGCAUGGCUAUUUGAAAGAUUAUAAUUUAUGAGCUAUUACUCAGUGGGAUUUUUGCAAUAAGGUACUUCAUGAGACAAAAUGGAAAAAGGAGAAUUAAAUUAAAAUGCACAACUAAUAUGUAUCUACUACAGAAAUAAUACUUCUCAGUUGUGAACUAAUCACUAGUUCACAACUAGCAUCCUCAUAAAUAUUUUGGUUCUAUCGGGAUACAAAAUCUGAUUUUGCAAACUUCGAAAAGGCACAUUUUGGCUGCGCACAGUGGCUCAUGCCUGUAAUCCCAGCACUGUGGGAGGCUGAGGCUGGAGGAUCACUUGAGGCCAGGAGUUCAAGACCAUCCUGGGUGACA